CCAAGAUCUUCCUGGAUUGUAGCUGUAAAAAAUGAGCAACAUACUUCUCUUGCUGAAAUGCUUAUUCUAUUUUUUUUUUUUUCGUCUUAGUGAAGUAUUAGAAGAAUUACAUCUAAUUUAGUGGCUGCCCUUCUCAAGGAAUCUUCCACUUACAUAAUGAAAACACUUUGGAGUAUGCGUCUGGUGGCUUUCCACUAUUGCGUUAAUGAACUUCUUACCAGUGCAAAUCUUCAGAAGCUGGAAUACUACUAUUCCUAUGCGAUGAUGUCCCUUCCAGUUGGGUCCCAUGUGCUUGGCUCCUCCUGUAUGUGCAUCAAAGCGAACCCUCCUUGCUGCUGGCUGCGACAUACUCAAGUUUGAAAGUGUUCCUCUGCAGCGUCUCUGGGGUAUGCUUUGUUUUGCAAUUCACAACUGUGCUUGUGAAGUAAAUACCAAUAGCUCUCACACAGAGCAUAUAAAAUAUUUGCCUGGCAGCACGUACAACAGCUUUGUUGCUCUCCUGCACUGCUCUAUCUACGUUUUCUAACCUUCAGCCACCAAUUCUACAGAUGUGAGGCUGGUUUGAUCUUCAUCUCCAUUCAAUCUGUUCUCAUUCUCAGCAAAGCAGGAAUCUCCAAGGGAUGUCUGCUAUUGUGUGCCUUUUGUGAAAGGGACGCAUGCCUGCAGAGGAUUAAACCAAACGUGUUUGAAAUGAUUAAACUCUUUUUCACAUAGUCCUGUGACUAAAUACAUGCAUGAUACUUUGAAUGUAUACCUCAAAGAGUUAGAAUUUUUUUUUUACCUUUUUAUCAGAGAAAAGAUUGAAGCUGUUUAACAUCUUAUAAUUACUAUAAUUUGCUUUGAGACUUUAUUUCAUUUUACCCUUUGGUCACUUAAUGACUCAUUUACACUUUUAAGUGAAAUCAUUCCUUUUUUUUGUUUCACAUAGAGACCAAAAGGAAAAGGAUGAAGAGCCUUCUCUUUGUCAAGCUCUUUUUCCUUCAUAUGUAUCUUUUUCUAGUGCUUGAUCUUUCUUUUGCCAUCAGACAUUCCUCUGAUUAAUUGCCUUGGCCUGCCUUCUCCUAUGGUGUAUAAUAUUUGCAUAAAAAAAGAAAAAUGAAAAGCACAAUUAAGAAACAAAAGCCUUCUAAUGCCAUCUUGGUUUUUUUGCAUAUGUUAAAGGUAAUAUGAAGUGAUGAGUUACCUCGUGUUAGUGCUUCAUAACAGUCUGUUACAUUUAUUAUUAUUUUUAAAUAA
rnacentral:lncRNA from 1 species